UUUUUAGCCAUGGCGACCAUCUUGGUUGGUUGGCCGGGUCAUGCCACACAUUUUUUAAACAAGUUACCCCUAUGAUGAUUGUGGCCAAGUUAAGUUUAAUUUGGCCCAGUAGUUUCAGAGGAGAAGAUUUUUGUAAAAGAUUACUAAGAUUUACGAAAAAAAUGGUUAAAAAUUGACUAUAAAGGGCAAUAACUCCUUCAGGGGUCAACUGACCAUUUUGGUCAUGCUGACUUAUUUGUAAAUCUUACUUUGCUGAACAUUAUUGCUGUUUACAGUUUAUCUCUAUCUAUAAUAAUAUUCAAG
rnacentral:lncRNA from 1 species